GUCAAACAGUUUUGGAGAUGGCGUUACUUGGUCAAAUAAUUUGUGCUCUACUUGUGGUAGCAGCUCUACUAAAUGGCGGCGAAUGUAGACCUGAUCCCGUACUUGGUGCUGUGGGAGGCCUGGUCAAUGGUUUACCUGGCGGUGCUGCGUUAUCCGGAGUUCUUGGUACUGUGGGUGGUCUCGUUGGCGGUCUACCCCUACUAGGCGGCUUACUAGGUGGGCGUUGAAAGUGCUCUUGCGGCGCAGUACGUGAUUUGAAGGAGCUGAUCAAGGAUGAAGAACUCUUUACAAGGACUUUACAAAAAUGUAUAAAAUUUUCGAUGAAAUUGUUAAUGGCAUAUCAAUAAACAUAUUGUGAAGUCCGAAAA